CCAGAAGAUCGGUUUCGAAGGAGGGGGGCGCGGACGGGAAAGGUGUCCUUUUCGAAGUGUUUAUUUUGUUAUUUUUUGAUCGCCGCUGAUUUAGCUGCGGUGCGAAAGCCACAGGGGGGGGGCAUGCGCUGCAUGAAAAGCCUCCCUAGAUGGCCGUGCGCUUCUGACUGCUCGCAUGAUGCUUUUGAAACACCAGUGCUUCUUCGACAGGUAUAUCUUUAUACUGUACGGUGGUUCCUUUCGAUAAUGUUUGCUACUGGUGUGAGGAUGCGCAACAUGUCCUGAAGCAAGCGAGUUUAGUCCCUGCACUUGUCAUGAGAAGAGGGGAGCGUCAGGCAUGCUGGGGAAAUGCAACUGCUGAGAGGCCUGCCUCGGGGUCGGGGAGCUCAGCACCGUCCAAACUGACUUUUGCUGAUGCUGUUUGAUUGGAGGGUGAGUGAGUGCUAUUCUGUUUGAUGCAGGGAAACGGAAAGAAAGAUGUUCCCGGGGCCUUCAAAGCUGGCUUGAGUCUGACUGCAGUAGAUUGUUAGCCCUCUUACGCAUUGCGAGGCUCAGAUUCUGCACGGAAACUGUGGCAACUAACCUGGAAGGGGAAGAGUGCAUCUCAAAGGAGUUUUGUUUCUUAAGAUCUGAACUGGAGGCAUAGUGGCGAGAGGCUGUGGUAUGUUCAUUGAUGGAUUACGCGCUUUUCCUGAUGAUUGUUGUUGUGGACCUGAUGCUGUAGCGCACAUGGAGCUAUCACUCGGAAGUGAGGCUGCCUGUGAUGGUUUUCAGAGUCACAGAUUUAAUUGAUGUGGGGUCAAGAAACGCCAAGGCCAUACUGUGAGUGGGGGUCGUUAGGAUGAUAGUUAGGAUUCAUAAUACGCAAGGUGGAGUGGUCGUGUCACGAGAACAUUCGACCACUGCAACUGGAAUGCCCUUUUCCUUCCCUGCUAAGGAGCCUAACUGAUCUUACUCUAAAACUCAAAACCUUGAUUCCUCAACAAGCAUCACGUUCGUCGUUUUUACUGAGGCUACCAUCAGCUCAAAAGUGACUUGUGCUGGACCGAACUACACGGUACCUUGGGAUAGUAUGAUGGGCCUUCGACAAUUGUCUUUUCAUGCUCGCACAAUUGGGAAACUCACUGCAUUCAAAUGUAGCGCGGAAGCACUAACACUGUACCUGCGUCUUACUUGCUAUGCUGGAAUGCCUCUGCUUCACAGAGGGCUAUAAACGACGGGGAUGCGAAGCUCUUUUAAAUGCAGUUUUGGCGCUGUUUACUCAGAACAGAAGACCACAUUCGGCGCAGCUCAAAAGCCUUGUCUGAUACUCUUCUUAUGGUACAACUCGAAAGCCAGUGUCUACAAUUUUCGAUUUUUCUUUCUCUUGCUACUCUUGCGCUACUGUUACAG
rnacentral:misc_RNA from 1 species